AUCAACGCUGGCGGCGUGCCUCAGACAUGCAAGUCGAACGAUUAAAGCUCUCUUCGGAGAGUGUAUAGAGUGGCGCACGGGUGAGUAACACGUAAGUAAUCUACCUUCGAGUGGGGAAUAACGUCCGGAAACGGACGCUAAUACCGCAUAAUGCAGCGGCAUCGCAAGAUGACAGUUGUUAAAGGAGCAAUUCGCUUGAAGAGGAGCUUGCGGCAGAUUAGCUAGUUGGUAAGGUAAUGGCUUACCAAGGCUACGAUCUGUAACCGGUCUAAGAGGACGGUCGGUCACACUGACACUGAAUAACGGGUCAGACUCCUACGGGAGGCAGCAGUCGGGAAUUUUGGGCAAUGGGCGAAAGCCUGACCCAGCAACGCCGCGUGAAGGAUGAAGUAUUUCGGUAUGUAAACUUCGAAAGAAU
rnacentral:rRNA from 1 species